UCUACAGUGAACAUUAUUUACUUUUAAUGCAAUUGAUUGAAGCAUGACUUAUAGGGGUAGUUCACCCAAAAAUGAAAUGUGUCAUUUACUCACACUCAACUUGUUUCGAAUUUGUUCUGUUGAAAAGAUGUUUUGCCUAUUUUCUUCCUAGCAAAACAUCAAUGUAUGUGCCAAAGUAGAAUUCAUCAACUUUAGCCUUGAUCUCUUUGAUCAGCUCAUCGUCUCUACACACCCUAUUCUACAUUGAAGUCAGCCCUUGUAUUUGUGACCAGAUCACACCAAGCUAAGCCAGUAACCAUCAGCUGACCUUGGACUUGCCAAUGGGCACUUAACUUCUACCAGGCCAUAGGAAGGUUCUUCAUUUGGGUGCACCACUUUGCCAUCUGGACUUGCACUAAGGUGUGGAGCAUCUGGGUGGAUGAUGAGACCAGAUGGAAGAACAUUAACAUCAAAGGUCUCAGCUAGGGCUGGGCGAUUUGUCAAAAAAUUUAAAAAUCGAUUUUUUUCAGAACAUUUGACCGAUUCUCGAUUUUUUUACAAUUUUUAACUAGUUACCUUGAAAAUGUAACUACAACAUGAUUCAAGUAACUUUUUCUUUAUUAAUCCUCUAGUUAAAGAAAUUAUAUUCCAAGUGCAGCACACAGUUGUCAACAUGAUGUAAAUGUUAAACAAAUCACUUGUUAAAUAUCUUUGCAGAAACGAUGCAUUGCUUUGGUGUGGGGGGCACCUUUAAUGAUCCGGCCAGCCUGUGUCAUUGCAGUGGAUUCGGACCUCACAUGAGCUGCUUCAUAGAACUUGCUUGCUAUGUCACCUCCAGACUCCAGGCAUAUGCAGGAGUUCAGCGCAGCUGUCAUCGACGAAAUUAUAUGGUGGAAGCUUGUAUUGUGGGACAGGUAAUGGGGGGAAUUGUGGAGCAUUUGGAUUUGUAAGUACAUCCUUUGACAGCACAGCUGGACACUGGUAUGACAACAGUGAUCCUUUUGGGACCUCUCCAAAUUUAGAAGACACCAUGGUUAGAGCAGACAUUCCAUCAACUAGCUUCGCUAUCAGUGGUUGUGGACAACGGGAAAUGAGGGAUGCUGCUCCAGCAAUGACAUCAUUGUCAGGUAAAGGUUCUAAAAAAAGUUCAUGCCUCAGUGUUUUAAUUGUUACCUAAUGUGAAGAUGUGUUUUAUUAGUAUUUGGCAGUGGUGGGCCGUCAGGGCCAGCAAAGCCUUCUCUGUCUCUGUCUAAGUCAGAAUCACUGAUUUAGUUUAAUAUAUUUUUCCAUGAAUGUGUAUCUUUAUUUGUUAAUGGUUGGCAAAUUAAAGUUGUUAAAAACUGACGAAUGAGGUUUCUGUCUUUAUAUUUACCUGGGUUCGGAGCCUAUGCCAGGCCUGCUGUUUGCUUGUGCAUGCAAGGGCAGCUGGAACAUUUUUGGUUCCAAUUGUACUAAAAUGUGCUGUCUGGUAAAGUAACCAGAUGGUUGC
rnacentral:lncRNA from 1 species